CCACUUUACCCUUUAUUUCUUCUUUCAUCUCAACCUGCUUUUGUGGCAGCAAUUUUGUCUGGCCUGAAUAAAAUACCUUAUUCACCUUUAGGGAGAAAUGUAAUAUUCUAGUUUUGCAUAGAUUAAUCUGGAGGUGUCUGUGAAAUGUUUAAGUCAAGAAAUCAAUUAGUAUUUGGAUGUAAAAGUCUGGAUCUCAGUGAAGCCCUGGAAUGAACAUAAAAAUUUAGGUAUCAUUGGCUUAGAUGUUUUUAAAGCUCUGAAAAAUGGAUGAGAUACCCUCAGGUGAAAGUAUGGCAGGAGAAUAUAAAGAGCUAUGACUGUGUCCUGAAGAAUUUCAAGAUCUAAAUGUUGGAUGCAGGAGGCAGAUAGCCCAGGGAGAGAGAGGAAAUUCAUGGUGUUACAGAAGACAAAGAAUCCAAAACUUCCAUAAGGAAGGGCAAAAUUUUUCCCAGGUAGGAGAAGCGUUUUCCAACUUCGUUUUACAAAUGGGAAGACAGAGCCACUGAUUUCUUGACCAGCUUAGCCUUAAAUCACAUAACAAAGUUUACUAUGAUCUUCAGAUUGGUUAAACCUGUGUUCAGAUGAUUUGGCUACUGGCCUUGCUGAGGAUAUUUAAGUCAUUAAGACAUUUUGAAGGCCAAAAGAUGAUGACUUUUGGAUUUCACUUCAGGAUAAAGUAAGCCAUGAUAGAUUGAACUAAAUAAUAAAAUACUAAUCAAAAGUCUAUUCUGAAACUGCUUGAAAAAAUAACAAGCUUUACUUUCAGUUUUUCUCUGUUGAAGUCAGCAGGAACAUCACUUUGGAUUACAUGAUGCUACAAAGAAAAGCAACUGGAGCUGCUGAUAAGACACCUACUCGGAGUAAUGAUGCAUAAUGUGAAAAUGCAAUAACCCAGACCUCAUAAGUACGGACGAAUGCCAUCUUUUUAAAGGAAAUGGUUGCAAAUGUGAAGUGCAAUGUGCUGAGCCAUUUUCAAAGCUAAUACGUGUCAGAGCUGGAAGGAGGAUGCAGAUCCUUUUGAUUUCAAGUUCAAGAACACCAUUGAUGUUGGUAUCAGGGAGCUGUAUCUUCAAAACCAAUAGAUAUAUCUUAGAGGGGAAUGAGCUGAAAAGAUAAUUCUAGCUAUAAAGAUGCUAAAUCAGCUGUGUACCUCCUGGCUCUGCUUCUGCCUACUCCUUAAUUCCCACUGGGUUUGUUGCCUGAUUUAUCCCAUAGAUUCUAUGAUUCCACAUUGAAUUGAUCUUCUUCAGCAUCUGGCCCUGGCUGUGCUUCUGGUUCUUUUUUUCUUCAAGGAUCAGGUUUUUCAUCUUGUCCAUCAUCUUCUGGACCUCAAAUACAUGCCAAAGACCAGAUUUUGCCUUAGUUUAGUGACUUGAACUCUACUGAUGAUAUGAAGCAACCCUGCUCUACCUGGUAGAGAAGGAAAAUGUAAGACCUAUGGACCUUACUUUAGAAUGAACUUUUAAAAACAAAUAUACAUAUUCCCAGGA